AUAGACGCCGUCCUCCAUGGCGGCUAGGAAGGCCCGCGGGGAAUCCGGGGCGGUCCCGCCAGUCGGGCCUGGAUCCGCGUUGGCCCGCGGGCUCGGGUGAGCCCGCUCAAACGCCCCGGGAGCCACCGCCGCCUCCUCAGCGCCAGUCCUCAGCGCUGAAAAGACUCUUCCCUUCGUCGCCCAACCGCCCCUUCAGUAGGGACCGCCCCUCUUUUUGACACUGUCCAAUCCACAGUGGGCGCUUUCGUCCUCCCCGCCCUCGCCACCAAAGGAUCGUUCUCCAGGGCCAACAGUCGUACAAAAAGCCGGUGUAGGUAUGUCCGGCCAGAGGUAGACGGCCCGCGGGGCCAAUCGGAGUGCAGGCAGGGCAGCAGGCCCCGCCUCCGAAACAACAGAAAGCACUUGACAGGCUUGCUCUCCAAUGAGAAGCCCCGGAAAAGUGUCGCGCGGAGGCGGAGCCACGCGGUACAGCCACCUCUGCGCCUGCUCAAAGGCCCUGGACACUUGGAGUCUAGGUAAACCGAGCCCCGCCUCCGAUAAUACGUUGCUAGGGGGCGGUACUUUGUUAGUCUUGUUGCUAGGAGGCGGGGCUAGAACUGGCUUGUUUCCGUAAGCCACACCUCCUAGCAGGCCAUGCUGGCUUCUGACCGCAAAGGUUGCCAUGCAACCGGGAGCGGCUUUAGGCCUCCUUUUCUUUUGCAUUUCUUCUCCGCGUAUUUCCCCUCCUCUCAGCCCCUUCUUACCGCCGAACUCCUUCUUUAUCACCAUCUAUGCCCUCCCCAUCCCCCUCAGCCUCUUCGGAGUCGUGGAGUGGUGAAACAAAAGACUUCUUCGUUUUUUCUUUUUUUUUUUUUUUUGAGACAGAGUCUUGCUCUGUCGCCCAAGCUGGAGUGCAGUUGCGCGAUCUCGGUUCACUGCAACCUCCGCCUCCCGGGUUCAAGCAAUUCUCCUGCCUCAGCCUCCCGAGUAGCUGGGAUUACAGGGUUGCACCAUGAUGGUGCAUGCCUGGCUAUUUUUUGUAUUUUUAAUAGAGACGGGCGUUUCACCAUGUUGGCCAAGCUGGUCUCGAACUCCUGACCUCAUGAUCCGCCCACCUUGGCCCUCCAAAGUGCUGGGGUUACAGGCGUGAGCCACCGCGCCUGGCCAAGAUUUACUUUUUUCUAAAUGCUAUGCUAUUUGGUAUCGGUCAUGGGGAAUGGAACAGGGGAAGGUGAAAUUUAGUGAAAGCACAGGCUCGGCCUUCCUGGCACCUUCUGCCGCUCAGACUCCUCCCUCAUUUCUCCAAACUCCUUCCUUUAGCUUAGCAUCCUCCUAAGACUCCUCCCUUCCCCAAGCAUCCUCCUGCUAAGACAACUCCCCUUUCCUCAGCAUCCUCCCACCUCUCUGAUUCCUUCUCCCAUCUCAGAGGCCUUUUUUCCUCUCUGGCUCCCCUCACGUCACGGUCCCCCUUGUCCUCUCAUACUCUUGCCCUUUUUUUUUUUUUUUUUUUUUUUGAGACAGAGUUUUGCUCUUUUGCCCAGUCUGGAAUGAACUGGCAUGAUCUCAGCUCACUGCAACCUCCACCCACAAGGUUGACGCGAUACUCCUACCUCAGCCUCCCAAGGAGCUGGGAUUAUAGGCGCCCACCACCAUGCCCGGCUAAUUUUUGUAUUUUUAGUAGAGACGGGGUUUCGCCAUGUUGGCCAGGCUGGUCUCAAACUCCUGACCUCAGGUGAUCCACCCGCCUCAGCCUCCCAAAGUGCUAGGCGUGAGCCACCGUGCCCAUAGGCGUGAGCCACCGUGCCCAGCCACCCUUGCCCUUCUUAAACUCCUCCCUCCUCUGAGGCCCCUUCCCCUUCCCCUUCCCCAGCCUCUAUGUCCCAUUAUUUGUAACGGAAUGUGGUCAAGGGACUGGCUGGAAUAGGGAACCCAGGCACCCCUGUAAAGAGGGAAGCCGUAAUGGGGGCUGAAGUGGUGUCUGGGCCUCGUCCUCAUUUGCUGUCCCUGGGCUGGGCAGGUGGAGACGGAUUCAGGGCCAGGACCUAGUUAAGCUGUCGGAUUAGACAUGGAGGCUCCUAAUCCCCUCACUGACCUUUAUGAGUGGCCCAGGCCCUGCCCUCCCCAGUGGAAACCCAGGCUGGGCUGCCCUGCUCCCAUACUCCUUUCAAACGAAACCCCCUCCCUGCCCCUUCACUUCCAACUUAACAUCCUUCCCCAACCCUGCGUUUCCAUUGCCCCCAUCCCUACCUACCCCAGACACCCUGAGCUGAGAGAGCAGCCAGCUAAUUAAUCCCAUCCGGUUAUUACAUGGGGAUUCUGAGGGAUAAAGGGAGAUGGAGAAGCUGGAGGGGGCAUUUGGGUUGAUGCAGCACUUGUGAAGGCUGAAUGGCAAUGACAGUGGCUGCCCUCGGUCCAGAACACGGGGUGGGAACACGUCCUCCUCACUGUCACUGGCUCCCUCUGCAGUUGGCUCCCAGCCUGCGGGGCACUUAGGUAGAUGGUAGCAUGGGCAGGGGGCCAGGUCGGAGGACCCAUGCUCGAGAAACACAUUCGCAGACACAUCCGCUAGGGCUCCCAGUUCUUUAAUCUGGGGGACAGGUCUCCCCCUAAAACACUCACUCUCCCACAAUGGGAAGAACCCUGGUGUCCAGAGCUACCUCCUCCUCCCCAGGUCCCCAAGCUAGGCCAGGGAAGUGACUCUGGCUGUUAGCCACAGCCCACGCCUACCCUUGCCCUGUGAUUCAGACACCCGAGUUCAGAGCCAGCCUCCAAGAGUAUCUUACAUCCCAGCGUCUCCUGGAAGGCCGUAUGAUCCAGCACUGGGGAGAGGAGGGAAAUCCCCAGGACUCGAAUGCCCAUCCCACCCUUGGUGUAGUGAGGACUCAUCCUGCUGGAAAGGCCCCUGAAGAACUUCAAGUUCCAAUAUCCCGUUUUUACAGAUGGGGAAACUGACAUGAAGAGGAGUCCAAAGUGACACAGUCAGGCCAGAAAUGUUGCUUCUGAAGUCCUGAGUCCACCUCCUAGCACUGCCAAGCAGUCCACCUGGAGGUGAUGAGAACUUCCAGGCUUUGGUAAUGGACAACUCUGUAUCCCUGGAGCCUUCAUUCCUUUUGGCAUUACAGAACCACAAGAAGUCAUCUAGAAUCAUUGAGAUUCUCAACUCCAUUGGGCAAACUGGAACCAGCAAAAUCUCAGAUAUCUAGAAUUGCCACUGCUUCCUUGACUCUGUGAUCAGUCUACAGCCACAGAAUCCUGAUUCCCUUUGGACAUUCUAGAAUGGCACUUUAAAAAAAAACAACCCACCCAGUGGAUCCUUUCAAAGCA
rnacentral:lncRNA from 1 species